AUCAUGGACUUGCACAUGGUUUCUAUCCACAGCAUAGUCCACAGACCUUACCCCAUGGUCUCCAGUGGCAGUUGCCAUGGACAUUGUGAAGUUGAAGUUGCCUUGGAGACACCAAAAUGUGAGAGCUGCCAGAGUCAUGGGUUACCUGCCAAGGAAAGCUGCUAACAGAGAGUGGAACCAGUUUCAAGAGAAAGGAUUAUGUCGCAGUCAAAAACGAUGAAAGGAGUUGAACUUCAGACCUGGAGAUGCAGAGUUUGGAGUUUUCCCAGCUGGUUUUUUGGUCUGCUUUGGUUCAGUAUUUCCUCACUAUGAAGUUUUGGAAUGGUAAUGAAUGGAAUCCCUAAAUAAGACAGAUAUCAACACAACCCUCAGCCACAGAACAGACUAUGGAUACCAUCAUGUCCCUCAAUGGCAUAAACAUCAGCAUGACCUCUGUUGGCAACAUGGCCCAUGAACAUCGACAUGACUUCAAGUGGCAGCAUAGACCACAAGUAUCCACAUGGUCUUCAGUGAUAACUUGUGCCAUAGACAUAAACAUGUCCCUGGCCAUAGCAAGUCCACAGGCUCCAACAUGGCCCUCAUCAGCAGUAUCUUAGCUCUUCAUUGAACUUUAUCUCUAGGAAAAGUCUACAUGGGGUAGCUGAAUAAAAUCUCUUUAUAGCCUUCAAAGUAA